CCCAAGAUUUCUUUAACCGAACUCGUGUAGCAGGAACUGUUUCAUUUUCUGUGUAUGGUAAUUUUAAUAUUGCACAUUGUUGCAGACAUUUGGAAAAACAGGAGGGAUCUUCAUUUGUACAAGAUUACUGAUACUAUCUAGAAUGGGAUAAAUGAUUGAUUUAACAGUAAUAAAGACUUUUGGAAACAAUAUAAUUAUUCGUCUUAGAUGCGAUACAAACAUAUUUUGAAUGAAUGCUUGUUUAAUAAAUUUUGAAUAUUUGUACGUCAUGUCUGACAAUCUUUACGAACACCCCUUGUUUAUGACCUCUUUUAUUUAUUUUGUUAUCUUUUUUUAAUGAUGAUAUAUUUUAUAAAUUCUGUAUUGAAGUGGAGGUACAUCAAUCGGUUCAAUAGUUCAUCGUCCACGGUACCGGAAGUGUCUGUCCAUGCAACCGGAAGCGAUCCUUGGACCCUUGCAACCUAAAGUGAUGCUCAAUCAGUGAGCAGCCAUGAAAACGUCUUCCCUGCAGAGCGUGUCUUGGGUAAUUGCCAGCAAUCGACUGACGUCUGACUAAUGGCACGAUCUGGGAUACCUGAUUGAGGACGCAUUGGUUUGAUGGCGGACAAGAUCAAUUCGGGAAGAAAAUCGGUGCCUCUCCAAGAGAAGAAAAUGGAAAAUGAAACGUUCAAUAAAUUGACACUUGUGUUGAUCGACAGUACAUUUUGAUGUGAUGCUACAUUCAUGUAUUGGUGUGACAAUCUUUUAUUAAUGUGACAUUCUAAUGUUAAUGUUGAUAUAUAGUAAAAUACACAUGUAUAGAAGACGAUGUGAAUCAAAGGGAUGAUCAAAUCCUACUUGUAUUUGUAGAGUGGAGCAUGUUGAGAUAUGUUCGUUGUCUCAUAUUUUGAGGGUUAGUCUAAGAAGCAUUGAUUAAUUGCUUCGCGCAUUGUUACGAACACAGGUUUCCUCGUCCAUUUAAAAAAGAAAAACGGGGUUUUGCCUGGGCGGCUAGUAUCCCAGAGAAAAAUAUUCGAUGUUGUCACUAAACAAUGCAUGGCGUAAGUUGAUUUAC